GAUGAACGCUGGCGGCGUGCCUAAUACAUGCAAGUCGAGCGAACGGACGAGAAGCUUGCUUCUCUGAUGUUAGCGGCGGACGGGUGAGUAACACGUGGAUAACCUACCUAUAAGACUGGGAUAACUUCGGGAAACCGGAGCUAAUACCGGAUGAUAUUUUGAACCGCAUGGUUCAAAAGUGAAAGACGGUCUUGCUGUCACUUAUAGAUGGAUCCGCGCUGCAUUAGCUAGUUGGUAAGGUAACGGCUUACCAAGGCAACGAUGCAUAGCCGACCUGAGAGGGUGAUCGGCCACACUGGAACUGAGACACGGUCCAGACUCCUACGGGGGGCAGCAGUAGGGAAUCUUCCGCAAUGGGCGAAAGCCUGACGGAGCAACGCCGCGUGAGUGAUGAAGGUCUUCGGAUCGUAAAACUCUGUUAUUAGGGAAGAACAUAUGUGUAAGUAACUGUGCACAGCUUGACGGUACCUAAUCAGAAAGCCACGGCUAACUACGUG
rnacentral:rRNA from 1 species